GUCGAGCGGACAGAAGGGAGCUUGCUCCCGGAUGUUAGCGGCGGACGGGUGAGUAACACGUGGGUAACCUGCCUGUAAGACUGGGAUAACUCCGGGAAACCGGAGCUAAUACCGGAUAGUUCCUUGAACCGCAUGGUUCAAGGAUGAAAGACGGUUUCGGCUGUCACUUACAGAUGGACCCGCGGCGCAUUAGCUAGUUGGUGGGGUAAUGGCUCACCAAGGCGACGAUGCGUAGCCGACCUGAGAGGGUGAUCGGCCACACUGGGACUGAGACACGGCCCAGACUCCUACGGGAGGCAGCAGUAGGGAAUCUUCCGCAAUGGACGAAAGUCUGACGGAGCAACGCCGCGUGAGUGAUGAAGGUUUUCGGAUCGUAAAGCUCUGUUGUUAGGGAAGAACAAGUGCGAGAGUAACUGCUCGCACCUUGACGGUACCUAACCAGAAAGCCACGGCUAACUACGUGCCAGCAGCCGCGGUAAUACGUAGGUGGCAAGCGUUGUCCGGAAUUAUUGGGCGUAAAGGGCUCGCAGGCGGUUUCUUAAGUCUGAUGUGAAAGCCCCCGGCUCAACCGGGGAGGGUCAUUGGAAACUGGGAAACUUGAGUGCAGAAGAGGAGAGUGGAAUUCCACGUGUAGCGGUGAAAUGCGUAGAGAUGUGGAGGAACACCAGUGGCGAAGGCGACUCUCUGGUCUGUAACUGACGCUGAGGAGCGAAAGCGUGGGGGAGCGAACAGGAUUAGAUACCCUGGUAGUCCACGCCGUGAUACCCUGGUAGUCCACGCCGUAAACGAUGAGUGCUAAGUGUUAGGGGGUUUCCGCCCCUUAGUGCUGCAGCUAACGCAUUAAGCACUCCGCCUGGGGGAGUACGGGUCGCAGACUGAAACUCAAAGGAAUUGACGGGGCCGGCACAGCGGAUGGAGCAUGUGAUUACUCGAGCCACGCGCGGAAGAAC
rnacentral:rRNA from 1 species